UACAGAGGCCCCAAGCGUUACUGAGAAUCACUGGGUUUAAAGGGUGCGUAGGUGGUCCGUUAAGUUCGUUGUGAAAGCCCUGGGCUCAACCCAGGAACUGCUUCGAAUACUGGCGGACUUGAGGCUAGUAGGGGUUACUGGAACUGACGGUGGAGCGGUGAAAUGCGUAGAUAUCGUCAGGAACGCCAAUGGUGAAGACAGGUAACUGGGCUAGUUCUGACACUGAGGCACGAAAGCGUGGGGAGCGAACGGGA
rnacentral:rRNA from 1 species